AGAUGGCGACCGGCGCACGGGUGAGUAACACGUAUCCAACCUGCCGAUAACUCGGGGAUAGCCUUUCGAAAGAAAGAUUAAUACCCGAUGGCAUAAUAGAACCGCAUGGUUUAAUUAUUAAAGAAUUUCGGUUAUCGAUGGGGAUGCGUUCCAUUAGGCAGUUGGUGAGGUAACGGCUCACCAAACCUUCGAUGGAUAGGGGUUCUGAGAGGAAGGUCCCCCACAUUGGAACUGAGACACGGUCCAA
rnacentral:rRNA from 1 species